rnacentral:misc_RNA from 1 species
AAGUCGUAACAAGGUUUCCGUAGGUGAACCUGCGGAAGGAUCAUUAACGAAUAACUAUGGUGUUGGUUGUAGCUGGCUCCUCGGAGCAAUGUGCACGCCCGCCAUUUUUAUCUUUCCACCUGUGCACCGACUGUAGGUCUGGAUACCUCUCGCCUCCGGGCGGAUGCGAGGGUUGCUCGUAAGGGCUUCCCUUGAACUUCCAGGCUCUACGUCUUUUUACACACCCCAAUAGUAUGAUGCAGAAUGUAGUCAAUGGGCUUCUCAGCCUAUAAAACAAUAUACAACUUUCAGCAACGGAUCUCUUGGCUCUC